rnacentral:pre_miRNA from 1 species
ACAACAACCAGGACCGUCGGUCUACCGAGCAAUAUCACCCGCUCGGUGGAAGAUCUUCCCAUUGUCGU